rnacentral:rRNA from 1 species
CUAACAAGGAUUCCCCUAGUAACGGCGAGUGAAGCGGGAAGAGCUCAAAUUUGUAAUCUGGCGGUCUAAGGCCGUCCGAGUUGUAGUCUGGAGAAGCGUUUUCCGCGUCGGACCGUGUAUAAGUCUCUUGGAACAGGGCGUCAUAGAGGGUGAGAAUCCCGUCUUUGACACGGACUACCGAUGCUUUGUGAUGCGCUCUCGAAGAGUCGAGUUGUUUGGGAAUGCAGCUCAAAACGGGUGGUAAAUUCCAUCUAAAGCUAAAUAUUGGCGAAAGACCGAUAGCGAACAAGUACCGUGAGGGAAAGAUGAAAAGCACUUUGGAAAGAGAGUUAAACAGUACGUGAAAUUGUUGAAAGGGAAACGUUUGAAGUCAGUCGCGUCUCUCAGAGACUCAGCCUCGCUUCUGCUUGGUGCACUUCUCGAGAUGACGGGCCAGCAUCAAUUUCGAUCGAUAGAGAAAGGCGGGGGGAAUGUGGCACCUUCGGGUGUGUUAUAGCCCUUUGUCGUAUGUAUCGGUCGGGAUUGAGGAUCGCAGCACGCCUUCAUGGCCGGGGUUCGCCCACGUAACGUGCUUAGGAUGCUGGCGUAAUGGCUUUAAACG